GGAUGAGCCCGCGGCCUAUCAGCUUGUUGGUGGGGUAAUGACCUACCAAGGCGUCGACGGGUAGCCGGCCUGAGAGGGUGGACGGCCACAUUGGGACUGAGAUACGGCCCAGACUCCUACGGGAGGCAGCAGUGGGGAAUAUUGCACAAUGGGCGGAAGCCUGAUGCAGCGACGCCGCGUGGGGGAUGACGGCCUUCGGGUUGUAAACCUCUUUCGCUAGGGACGAAGCUUUUGUGACGGUACCUAGAUAAGAAGCACCGGCUAACUACGUGCCAGCAGCCGCGGUAAUACGUAGGGUGCGAGCGUUGUCCGGAAUUACUGGGCGUAAAGAGCUCGUAGGUGGUUUGUCGCGUCGUCUGUGAAAUUCCGGGGCUUAACUUCGGGCGUGCAGGCGAUACGGGCAAUACUUGAGUGCUGUAGGGGAGACUGGAAUUCCUGGUGUAGCGGUGGAAUGCGCAGAUAUCAGGAGGAACACCGAUGGCGAAGGCAGGUCUCUGGGCAGUAACUGACGCUGAGGAGCGAAAGCAUGGGUAGCGAACAGGAUUAGAUACCCUGGUAGUCCAUGCCGUAAACGGUGGGCGCUAGGUGUAGGGGUCUUCCACGACUUCUGUGCCGUAGCUAACGCAUUAAGCGCCCCGCCUGGGGAGUACGGCCGCAAGGCUAAAACUCAAAGGAAUUGACGGGGGCCCGCACAAGCGGCGGAGCAUGUGGAUUAAUUCGAUGCAACGCGAAGAACCUUACCUGGG
rnacentral:rRNA from 1 species